rnacentral:misc_RNA from 1 species
GCGGGUGGCGAUGAUCUUUUCCUCCCUAGCCUUGCGUUGCUUACCCCGCCUAGUGCGCUCUAUCAUCUUCGCUCGCUCGAACUUGGCGAGCUGAGCUUCCUGCUUCGACCAGCUCGUCCCCCUAGGAGCCUGUUUGGUAAAGGCGAGGGUUAAACCUUUUCGUGGAU